rnacentral:lncRNA from 1 species
CCGCCCCACCCCGAGCCUGGGGGGACCGGCACCUGCACCAGGAGGAUGAGGCGGCUCCGGAGGGAGGGAGCGGGCUUAGCCCUUCUUGGUCAAGACGCUGCUGAUAUUCUUUACUCAAAACCAAACCCGUAUCUACAAAAGAGAAACAGACCCAAUCACAGAGAACAGACUUGUGGUGGCCAAGGGGGUGGGGGCACUGGACGGGGAGUUUGGGGUUCGUAGAUGCAAACUCUUAGGGUUAGGGCCGAUAAGCAAUGCGGUCCUACCCUACAGCCCAGAGAACUCUAUCCGAUCUCUUGGGAUAGAACAUGAUGGGAGGUAGUAUGAGAAAAAUGUGUGUGUGUGUGUGUGUGUAUGUAUGACUGUGUCACUUUGCUGGAAAAAAUUGUAAAUCAACUAAACUUUAAAAAUGCCUUUAUUUUUCAUCUAGAUGCGAAAGUGGUACAUACACUUCAUCGGGGAAAAUGUAGAGGGUGCAGGGAGCACAAAUCACAAGGAAAAUAAAAACCACCUGCGACCCCAACAGCCCACGAUGGCAGUUGGCCGCGUUUCAGUCGCUUUCCAGCUCCCUUGCUCUGAUGACAAACACUGCGGGGUCGUUUGGAGCAUUCGCUAGCAUUUUUCCUGGCAUUUGAAUGGUCUGUUUCUUCCCCGCAAUGAUUAAAUAGCACCCCACCAUCUGGCUGCUCCACCGCUGAUUUAACCCGCCCACUCUGAUCAAAUUUUGGGGUCGUUCCAUUUUGUUUUUAAUUUUUAAAUAACGAAAUAUUCUCCAGACUCAGAAUAAUGAGUAACUUUUGCAUAAUGAGUGGUGGAUGCUGGCUAGAUGCUCAGGAGCUGGGGCGGGGCAGGGAUGAGGACACAGGGGCCCCUGUCACCCUGCACCCCCGCCCGGGCACGACUAGGGAUGGCACACUGAGUGCUCACUUUUAUCUGUCUCUCCCAAAUUUCACUGAACGCCGAGAAGUCCACACGCGCUCUCAUGGCAAAAACAAAAGUGCAAGAAGAGUAAUGGUGAGUCACUUCCGGGAUAGGCGGGGGCAGGUGGGAUUGAGUGAGGAAGAAAAGAGAUCUGAGAAGAUAGAAGCUGCAGAGCUGCGGAGAAGGGGGCUGGGCUGGGAGGGGAGCUGCUGGAGGAACCAGAGCCCUGCAGGAAACUAG